rnacentral:piRNA from 1 species
GAUGAUUUCAGUCGUGGGGUAAG